GACGAACGCUGGCGGCGUGCUUAACACAUGCAAGUCGAACGGAAAGGCCCUGCUUUUGUGGGGUGCUCGAGUGGCGAACGGGUGAGUAACACGUGAGUAACCUGCCCUUGACUUUGGGAUAACUUCAGGAAACUGGGGCUAAUACCGGAUAGGAGCUCCUGCUGCAUGGUGGGGGUUGGAAAGUUUCGGCGGUUGGGGAUGGACUCGCGGCUUAUCAGCUUGUUGGUGGGGUAGUGGCUUACCAAGACUUUGACGGGUAGCCGGCCUGAGAGGGUGACCGGCCACAUUGGGACUGAGAUACGGCCCAGACUCCUACGGGAGGCAGCAGUGGGGAAUAUUGCACAAUGGGCGGAAGCCUGAUGCAGCAACGCCGCGUGCGGGAUGACGGCCUUCGGGUUGUAAACCGCUUUCGCCUGUGACGAAGCGUGAGUGACGGUAGUGGGUAAAGAAGCACCGGCUAACUACGUG
rnacentral:rRNA from 1 species